rnacentral:rRNA from 1 species
CACGUAGGGCGCAAGCGUUGUCCGGAAUUAUUGGGCGUAAAGAGCUCGUAGGCGGUCUGUUGCGUCCGCUGUGAAAACUCGGGGCUUAACCCCGAGCCUGCAGUGGAUACGGGCAGACUAGAGGUAGGUAGGGGAGAAUGGAAUUCCCGGUGUAGCGGUGAAAUGCGCAGAUAUCUGGAGGAACACCGGUGGCGAAGGCGGCAUCCUGGACCAAUUCUGACGCUGAGGAGCGAAAGCCAGGGGAGCAAACGGG